rnacentral:lncRNA from 1 species
CUUAUCAGCAGUAAUAGCUCCUCCUUUGACUAUUUUCAUUCUACUUCUUCUCCCUUUGAUUUUUUUUUUCUGUGCAUUUCUUCAGCUGAGAUCUUCGGUGGAUGGAACAAUACUUGCCUUUUUGAGCUUCGUUGAAGGGUCUAUUAACCUGGAUAUUGUUACCCGCUCCAAGUACGUUGAAGGGUCUAUUAACCUGGAUAUUGUUACCCGCUCCAAGUACGUUGAAGGGUCUAUUAACCUGGAUAUUGUUACCCGCUCCAAGUACGUUGAAGGGUCUAUUAACCUGGAUAUUGUUACCCGCUCCAAGUACGUAAGUAACCUUUUGAGCUAAGAUUAUGUUUCUCCUGCCUGUGCUAAACUCCUCCAACCUUACAGAUGCAACUGGG